GGUGCUAUAGUGUAGUGGUUAUCACUCGGGAUUUUGAUGUCAAUGUGCCAGGGCUCGAACCAGGCAGAUAAAUUUCCCGGAACCCAGGUUCGAGCCCUGGUAGCACCU